GAUGAACGCUAGCGGCAGGCUUAACACAUGCAAGUCGAGGGGUAUAGUUCUUCGGAGCUAGAGACCGGCGCACGGGUGCGUAACGCGUAUGCAAUCUACCUUUUACAGAGGGAUAGCCCAGAGAAAUUUGGAUUAAUACCUCAUAGUAUGUGAGAAUCGCAUGGUUUUCACAUUAAAGUUCCAACGGUAAAAGAUGAGCAUGCGUCCCAUUAGCUAGAUGGUAAGGUAACGGCUUACCAUGGCGACGAUGGGUAGGGGUCCUGAGAGGGAGAUCCCCCACACUGGUACUGAGACACGGACCAGACUCCUACGGGAGGCAGCAGUGAGGAAUAUUGGACAAUGGGCGCAAGCCUGAUCCAGCCAUGCCGCGUGCAGGAUGACGGUCCUAUGGAUUGUAACUGCUUUUGUACAGGAAGAAACACUCCCCUCGUGAGGGAGCUUGACGGUACUGUAAGAAUAGGAUCGGCUAACUCCGUGCCAGCACG
rnacentral:rRNA from 1 species